rnacentral:SRP_RNA from 1 species
CGAUCACCUUCCCCAUGACCUUGGCGAACACUGCGACGAUGGAAAUCGCAACCAAGGUGACGGUUGCGAUGGGCAAUGCCGCGUCGAGACGGGCUUCAUCUGU